UACGUAGGUGGCGAGCGUUGUCCGGAUUUAUUGGGUUUAAAGGGUGCGUAGGCGGGAUGCCAAGUCAGCGGUAAAAAUGCGGUGCUCAACGCCGUCGAGCCGUUGAAACUGGCGUUCUUGAGUGGGCGAGAAGUAUGCGGAAUGCGUGGUGUAGCGGUGAAAUGCAUAGAUAUCACGCAGAACUCCGAUUGCGAAGGCAGCAUGCCGGCGCCCUACUGACGCUGAGGCACGAAAGCGUGGGUAUCGAACAGG
rnacentral:rRNA from 1 species